rnacentral:tRNA from 1 species
GCUGGAAUAGCUCAGUUGGUAGAGCAUAAGACUCAUAAUCUCAGGAUUGUGGGUUCAAGCCCCAUGUUGGGCA